rnacentral:rRNA from 1 species
UACAGAGGUCGCAAGCGUUGUUCGGAUUCAUUGGGCGUAAAGGGUGCGUAGGCGGCGCGGUAAGUCGGGUGUGAAAUCUCGGAGCUUAACUCCGAAACUGCAUUCGAUACUGCCGUGCUUGAGGACUGGAGAGGAGACUGGAAUUUACGGUGUAGCGGUGAAAUGCGUAGAUAUCGUAAGGAAGACCAGUGGCGAAGGCGGGUCUCUGGACAGUUACUGACGCUGAGGCACGAAGGUCAGGGGAGCAAACGGG